GGCCGGCCCCCACGUGGCUUAAUCAGGCGCGGCUGUGCCUGGAGGACCUGAACAUCUGGAUCCCGGCGCGGCCUCUCCCCCGCCCCUCCCGGGCUGGGCCUCCCUCCCAGCACCGCACCCCGGGCAGUCCUGCGCGCGGGGACCCCAGCUAGCCCCCCAAGCUGUACGCCUGGCACGCGGAAAGGCUGAGGCAGGAGGAUCGCUGCGAGGUCGCACCAAAGUGGGAAAGCUGGCAUCCGGACGCCUGGGCAGAGCCGGAAUUCAAGUUCACACUUGUCAUUUGCAGAGUCCCGGGCACUUAACCCUUCCGCAAUUACGGUCCUUCAUUCAUUUCAAACAAACACUGCUUUCAACAAA